GAGAAGUCAGGCCAGAUUAAGCCAUAGUACGGAAAGAGCUAUGCUGCCUGUGAGCCCCGUCCAAGGACGUAAAAUGAAGUCAGGCCGAAAGCCACGGAUUGAGC
rnacentral:lncRNA from 1 species